rfam:Trichobilharzia regenti genome assembly, scaffold: TRE_scaffold0001002
AUCCAGAUGACCAGUCCCAAACAGGACGGAAUGUGCAUCCUGGAU